GGAAUAUAAGAACCCGUCUCUUAAUUUUUAACUAAAAAAACUAAGAACCGGCUCUUAAAUAGUAAAAAAAUUAAGAACUGGUUCUUAAAUCUCUUAUUUAAGAGCCGGUUCUUAGUUAAAAGUUAAGAGACGGGUUCUUAUAUUCC
rfam:Brassica oleracea var. oleracea cultivar TO1000 chromosome C1, whole genome shotgun sequence